CCUCGAACACGAAUUUCGGAUACACCUCGUCCUUCUCUGCCGCCGCCUUCUCUACCAGGUCGGGCGCCGGGAAGAUCACGGCGUCGCUCCCGGGGUUGUAGAAUGACGCGAUCGACAUCCGGUUGCCGUCGGUCUGGGCCACCACGCGGUGCAUUACGCUCUUGUAACUGCACGUAUGUUGAACGUACAUUCCUAAAAAAUACUGUUCUCUGACAACUUAAGUUAACUUUUAGGGACAGUCGGUAUAGAAUCUUUUAUACGAUACCUACCUGCCGUUGGUGAUCACCUCGAGCUGGUCUCCGAGGUUGACGACGAUAGAGUACGGGGUCGGGGGCACGUCGACCCACUCGCCGUCCUUGAGGAGCUGGAGACCGCUGACGCG
rnacentral:lncRNA from 1 species